AUACCCAGAACCCAUCAUGCUGACAAGGGUGGUAAGAAUGUGUCCAGCUUUGGGGGUUAGAAACGGUAGCAAGAUUAAGUUCCUGGCCUGGAAGUGCAGUCAGUGGGGAGUGACAGUGGCAGCUGAAGCUGGUGAGGCAGCAGCAGCUGUGGUUUCCCCAUCCAUCUAGUUCUGUAUGUCGUGGGCAUCGUGCCUGGAAGCGUAGUCUUAAGUCUGGUUCUCCAGCCCUCCCUAACACUAUUGAUUACAUGAGACACCCCAUAUUCUUCUAAUAAAUUCCUUUUCUGCUUAGCUGGUCUGAAUCGGCUUCUAUUGCCUAAAGCUAUGAACCCUAGAUGUCUCAUUUCUUUUGGGCUUCUAUAACAAAAUACCAUAGACUGGGUGGCUUAUAAACAACAAAAAUUUAUUUCUCACAGUCCUGGACGCUGGGAAGGCCAAGACUGGGGCACAGCAGAUUCAGUCUCUGGUGAGAGCCCUCUUUCAUGUCCACAGACAGCACCUUCUAGCUGUGUCCUCACAUUUUAGCAGGGGCAGAGCUCUCUGAGGACUCUUUCAAAAGGCACUAAUGCCAAUCACAAGGGCUCCACCCUCAUGACCUAAUCACCCUUCAAAUACCAUCAUUUCCAAAUACCAUCACUUUGGGGGCCAAGAUUUCAACGUAAGAAUCUUGAGGGGAAACAUUCAGACCAUAGCACUGACUGCUGCAGAAGUGUGCCCCACCCUUGAUGAGAAUGACUCAUUCUGAAGACUCACCCUGGGUGGCCCCUUGCCUGAAUUCCCUCAAGCCCAGGCAUUUUGCUCAUUCCUCUUCCCCCCCACCCCCACCCCUUUUGGAGAUAUGGGGUCUCGCUCUAUCACCCAGGCUGGAGUGCCAUGGUGCGAUCAUAGCUCACUGCAGCCUCAAACUCCUGGGCUCAAGCAUUCCUACCACCUCAGCCUCCCGAGUACCUGGGG
rnacentral:lncRNA from 10 species